rnacentral:tRNA from 1 species
UCCCUGGUAGCUCAAUGGUAGAGCGGUCGGCUGUUAACUGAUAGGUUGUAGGUUCGAAUCCUACCCGGGGAG